UAAGGGUGGCAGUGGCAGCGUUCGUGUGCUCGGGUCUGACUCACUGAGGGAGGAGGCGGUGGAGGAAGAGGUGGCGGCGGUGGCGGUGGUCGUAGCGGUGGCGGAGGAGGCGGGUACGAAUCAGCUGCGGGCAGAGACAUGGCCAACAUCGCGGUGCAGCGAAUCAAGCGGGAGUUCAAGGAGGUGCUGAAGAGCGAGGAGGGCAGCAGCAAUGACUCUGCGCACGGUAUUAUUGUCAUUGCAAGCACUGUUGGCAGCUGCAGAACCAGAUGACCCACAAGAUGCAGUAGUAGCAAAUCAGUACAAACAAAAUCCUGAAAUGUUCAAACGAACAGCUCGACUUUGGGCACACGUGUAUGCUGGAGCACCAGUUUCUAGUCCAGAGUACACCAAAAAAAUAGAAAACCUAUGUGCUAUGGGCUUUGAUAGGAAUGCAGUAAUAGUGGCCUUGUCUUCAAAAUCAUGGGAUGUAGAGACUGCGACAGAACUGCUUCUGAGUGACUGAGGCAUAGGGAGCUGCUACCUGCGCUUGCCUCUUCCCGAGGAGCACCAACAUCUUAUUUUUAGGAUUCUACAUAAAUUUCUUU